GUCACCCAUCAGCCCAGGGUCCUGAUAGGGAGAUUUGGGAACAGAAGGAGGUGAUUGGGUCUCACCAAGGAGGAGGGGGGACCCUUUUCCCACUCACCCAGGUUCUGUGUGGUCAAUGCCGUAAACCGGUUCUGGAGUGGCAGAGUCAUGGUGUCAUAAAAAGGCAGGUAAGAGAGAUCUCGCUGGAACCUGCC